AUUACAUAUAUUGACAUUUUAUAUAUAAGUUGUUGGUGUAUACAGAGAAAAAUAACAUUAUUGUACACUAAUGCCUACAAGUUAAAAAAAAAAUAAAACAAAUUAGAUGAAUUGACUCUUCUACGCGUGAUUUAAAUUUAUCUUUUUCAAUUUAUAUUUCACUCGCAAAUUCCAACUCCAAUACUACCUGUAUAUAGGUAAUAAUAAAUAUAGUCUAGGACUACAUGGCCAUAUUAUGACAUAUUAUAAAGCGUACAUGAUAAUAUGACAUGUAUUUACGUUCGUCCUUCAACUCGAAACACUAUAAUAAUAUGCAUGUGCCAAUAUAUAGAGGAGAAGGGCUAAUACGCGUGCUAUGGGGUAAUAUUUCAGUCAUUUGUGAUUCAUUGUGCAUUGUAAUUAUUUAAGUCGACAACGUUGCAAAUCUGCAACUAUAUUUUCUCGUAUAAUAACGCGUAUUCGCAGUUCACAACACGUUCAGUCAACUAAAGUGCUGCAGAGUACAUCUGAAGAAGAGUUGCAGUUUUUAGUUUCGUUAUUUAAUUUUAGGGUCGUCAUUAGCGAUGUUUCAAAGUAUGCCAAUGAAGACCUAAAUAUUUACUGAUCAAAAUUAUAUGGCCCCAGUUAAAUUACAACGCCCAUGCAGUGGCGGAUCCAGAAUUUAAUUUGGGAGAUGAGGCAUAGUAAUAGUUACCCAAGGCUAAUGAGAGGAGCCAAGGCCCUCGGGCCCCCUUAAAAUCUACAACUGCCGACGCUGAUUAUCAAAGUAUGUGUAAUUUAUUUGUAAAAGUGAAUAUUUUAGAAAAAAAUAUUUAUUAUUUUAAGAUUAAAUUUGUUAACCCCAUACAUGUAAAUUAUAAUUUGUAUUUUUUUUUUAUGGUUUAAUCGCAAUUGCUGUACGUGCGAAAUCAGUAAUAAUAUUAAAUGUUGACAUUAUUUUAUAGUCUAUAUUAGUUCUGUAAUUUGUACAAACACAUUGACUCGG